rnacentral:lncRNA from 1 species
AGGUGGGACAGGGGCUUCGGGCUGGUGGAGCAUGUGCUGUGACAGGACAGCAUCCUCAGUCAAUCUAGCAGCAUAUUUGAUUGCAUUUUCUACACACUACAGCUGUUGUUAGGUUGCCUGCGGAUGCUCUGGGCCUCUGUCCUGCUGGUGCUGAGCUCCCUGGUGUCUCUUGCUGGUUAUGUCUACCUGGACUGGAUCCUGUUCUUUGUGCUCUAUGAUUUCUGUCUUGUUUGCAUAACCACCUAUGCCAUCAACGUGGGCCUGAUGUGGCUCAGUUUCCAGAAGGUCCAAGAACCCCAGGGCAAGGCUAAGAGGUACUGAG